rnacentral:rRNA from 1 species
UACGUAGGGUGCGAGCGUUGUCCGGAAUUAUUGGGCGUAAAGAGCUCGUAGGCGGUGUGUCGCGUCGGUCGUGAAAACUUUCAGCUUAACUGGGAGCUUGCGGUCGAUACGGGCAUCACUGGAGUUCGGCAGGGGAGACUGGAAUUCCUGGUGUAGCGGUGAAAUGCGCAGAUAUCAGGAGGAACACCGGUGGCGAAGGCGGGUCUCUGGGCCGAUACUGACGCUGGAGGAGCGAAAGCCGUGGGGAGCGAACAGG